ensembl:lncRNA
UCUCAGUCAUUAAGGAGUUCCCUGCUGGAGCAGGGUAUAAUAUCUGGGGGGAGUUAUCAUUCUCAUCUGUUAUGAAGACACUCACAGUCACGUUACUGCUGAGUGGAGGAGAACCAUUGUCUCUGGCUACAACGUGGACCUUGAAGCUCCUAAACUGUUCAUAAUCAAAUGAUUUUACAGUAUGGAUCACCCCCGUGUCUCCGUUAAUGGAUAAAAAUGAGGACACCGGAACACCGUUGACAUCACUGGGCAAUAGAGAAUAGACCACUGUGCCGUUCUGUCUCCAAUCUGGGUCUAUGGCAGUAACAGAACACAUAGAGGAGCCAGGCUUGUUAUUUUCAGUCACAUAGGCGUUGUAGUAUUGUUCUUCAAACACAGGUGGAUUGUCAUUCACGUCUGACACAGAUAAAUGAAUAGUCUUUGAGGAGGAUAAAGGCGGAGUCCCCUCGUCGCUGGCAGUGAUAGUUAUGUUAUAAUCUGAUAUUAUCUCACGGUCGAGUUCACUCGUUGUUACCAGAGAAUAAUAGUUUUUGAUUGAGGGAUUUAAUUUGAAUGGAACAUUUUGUUGAAUGGAGCAUCGGACCUGUCUAUUCCCCCCAGAGUCUUUAUCCUGUACGUUAAUGAUGCCCACCUCUCUGCCAGGUAACACAUUCUCAGGAAUUGGAUUGGCUAGAGUUUUUAUUAAUAUCACUGGUGCGUUGUCGUUUACGUCAGUAAUAUCUAUCAGUACUUUUGUGUAUGACACCAAACCUGCACCAUCUUUGGCGAGGACGCGCAACUCAUAAAUGGGCUGCUCCUCAUAAUCUAUCGGUCCAGACAGAUUUAUAACCCCAGUUUUACUAUCGAGUUUAAACAAAUUAUUCAACUCCUCAGAAACUCGACCUAGAUCAUAUGUUACCUCGCCAUUUGCCCCCUCGUCUACAUCAGUUGCGCGGACUGUAGCUACUACGGUACCCAACGGAGAAUUUUCUGGUAGACUGACCUUAUACACGUCCUGGCUAAAUACUGGAAUAUUGUCGUUAGCAUCCAACACAGUGACGUGUAUAACUACAGUACCAGAUCUCUGUGGAGUCCCACCGUCAACCGCAGUAAGUAACAACGUCACCUCAUGCUUUUGUUCUCGGUCCAGCUCUUUCUCUAACACUAACUCGCCGUAUUUUUCCCCAUCUCGAUUAGUAUGAACAUUCAAGACAAAAUGGUCAUUCCUUUGCAAAGAGUAGCUUUGAACUGCAUUCUGACCUAUAUCUGCAUCGUGGGCCUCAUUAAUGGGGAAACGUUCACCUUUAUGAGCUGAUUCCCUUAUUUCCAAUUUAAUAACAUCAUCUGCAAACUGUGGUGAAUUAUCGUUCACAUCCUGAAUCUGAAGAGAUAUGCGAUGCAAUUCUAAAGGACUUUCAAGAACCAUUUCAUAUUUGAGCCCACAUGAAAUCCUCGGACCGCAAAGCUGUUCCCUAUCAAUUCUUUCAGCGACAACAAGAUCUCCCGAAUUCAGGUCAAUGUCACAGAAGUGUUUAGUUCCAUCCUCUUCUAAACGAGCUUUUCGAGCCGACAGUCUCUUAAUAUCCAACCCAAGAUCCUUGGCUAUAUUUCCGACCACAGAUCCGCGUUUCAUCUCCUCUGGAAUAGAAUAGGUCAUAUCGCCAUUGCUGAUGCGUAUCAGGGAUAGAACAAAAGCCAGAUGGAGGACAAAAGCUGAAACUGUAAAUCCAAUGUAGCCCAUUUUCGAUGUAAAAAACGAAAAUAUUCCAAUUACAAGGUGAAAAAGAGAAUUAUGCAAUGUAGGCUACUACAAAUAUUGGCUAAGAUAAAUUACCCAACUGAAGAAAUAAGGUCCUUUGGCCGACUGCUCCUCAGUGAUAAUGGCGCG